GUUUUCUAUGAGGCUUGAUUCGUGUCAAAGCCUCUGUAUCAAUAGAUUUUUUUUUUUAAAGGACCGGUCAUUAUCUGCGAGUGCCGAAAUAUUUGGCCUUGUCCUUUCAGUGGCCAUGAUUCAAAUGUCGCCUCUGUCCCUGAUACCCACGGUAGAUGCGUUAUAGGGAGGAAGACACUUGCUCGAACUGCGCGCCCAGAAGCGUGGUGUAGCCACUCACCCAGGGACGCCUGCACGGCUUCUGCGGCGGCGAAGGACAGCAGGGCGCUCUCCUUGCCCAGGAAGGAUUUCCCCUCG